UUGCUAGUAAUCGCAGAUCAGCAUGCUGCGGUGAAUACGUUCCCGGGCCUUGUACACACCGCCCGUCAAACCAUGAGAGUUGGCAACACCCGAAGUCGGUAGUCUAACCGCAAGGAGGACGCCGCCGAAGGUGGGGUUGAUGAUUAGGGUUAAGUCGUAACAAGGUAAC
rnacentral:rRNA from 1 species